GGGGAAUAUUGCACAAUGGGCGAAAGCCUGAUGCAGCAAUGCCGCGUGUGUGAAGAAGGCCUGCGGGUUGUAAAGCACUUUCGGUAGGGAAGAUUAUGACGGUACCUACAGAAGAAGCACCGGCUAACUCCGUGCCAGCAGCCGCGGUAAUACGGAGGGUGCAAGCGUUAAUCGGAAUUACUGGGCGUAAAGCGCGCGUAGGCGGUCUUGUAAGUCGGAUGUGAAAGCCCCGGGCUUAACCUGGGAACUGCAUUCGAUACUGCUUGACUAGAGUAUGGUAGAGGGUAGCGGAAUUCCGGGUGUAGCGGUGAAAUGCGUAGAUAUCCGGAGGAACACCAGUGGCGAAGGCGGCUACCUGGACCAAUACUGACGCUGAGGUGCGAAAGCGUGGGGAGCAAAC
rnacentral:rRNA from 1 species